ensembl:lncRNA
GGGCUCUUCAUACAGGCAUCUGUUAUUUUGUUCACCCUCCCGUUCUUUCAUUCUCACACACUUUUUGUUUUCCCAUGGACACAUGUUAUGUGUUAAUGUUAAGAUGCCAGUGUUCCGCAGGGCUGAGUUUUAUUUGGCGAGUUUGCCAGCAAGUUUAUUGUAAUUUGAAUUACAAUAUUUAAUAUUUUUAAUUAUCCAAUAUUAUAAUAAUUGGAGGUAAAGCUGCCAUCACUGAGGAGACUACACACUAGAAGCCUAUUAGGCCAUGGCUCUGUUUCUUUUGUUGCUGAAAAAGACAUGGUCAAUAAAAAAAAUUGGAUCAUGGUAAUGUUGCAGUUGCAUUUAUGUCACGGUUAGCGGGUGGCAGGCAGGCAGGUAGGACCCAAUAGAAGACAAUUCAAUAAAAGGAUCAUUUAUUAACGCCAAAGGCAAGGAACGCGGGUAAGGGAACACCGGGAACACACAGGACACAACUCCCCACAAACUAAAAUGAUCCGAAAAGGAACAAAGGAAAGACAAGGGCUUAAAUACCAAACACACACAGGGCACGCAACGAGUCACAGCUGAGACACAUUAGGGAGGGAGCAGUAAUCACACAGGACGGAAACUUGACCGGACAUGGGGAGAAACAAGACCGAUACCAAAGUAAAACAGGAAACACACCAAAACCAGACAAGGAAACCGACAGACCAUGACAAUUUAUGUAUUUUACACGGCUCUAUUGAUUGAAAGACAUAUUUUGAGUUUCAGGAACUAGGUGGGGAAAGAUUGUUUAAACUAAGUAUCUACAGUUACUUUAUCUCGGGUUAUUAGUACAUUCAACUUAAAUGUUGUAUUCCAUUCCAUGGGCUCAAGUACAUUGAACGUAGUCCUCUUCACUUAUUCAACUAAUACUUCAUUACUUAAACAUUUUAAGGCAACGAGGUACCUUACUUUUUUUAAGUAGAUUCUACUUAUCCGGAUGGACCUAUCAAGGCUGGACAACUUGAAUACUUUCAGAAAGCAUGCUGCAUGCCUCCAGUUUCCUCCUGCGGCUUAUUCCUUUACAACACAGCACAACCCAACACAACACAACUCAACACAACCAACACAACCCAACUAACCCAACCCAACAACACACAACCCAACAAAACCCAACCCAACACAACACAACAUAAAACCCAACCAAACCCUACACAACCCAACCCAACAAAUCACAACAAAACCAACACAUCCCAACCAACACAACACAAACCAACCCAACACAACACACCCCAUGGUAGACCUACUACUGUCUAUAAUGUAAGGCUCUGAUUUAAGAAAAUAAUUAUGCAAACAAAUUCUAUUAAAUGCAUGAAAUCAAAAAGUAGGACCAGUCUUAGCCAGUGGGGGUAACCGUUCAGUCGGACAUCUUCAGUAGACCUUUUGGUAAAUGGUUAUGGUUAUGGUAUGUGUUCUGCUGAGCUAGUGUUUCAAACCGACGGGUAGAGAACUUAAUACUGUUUCUUGUCUUGGUGACAGAACCAGUUGGGCUGGUAACAAGCAGGAUGGAUAUCAGCGUUGGAAAGCUACCCAACCUCACAUCUCCACCGAUGAAGAAAUGUUCUGCUGCUCAUGACAAUAUUUAAACUCAUACUUAUAAGGCCACUUUCACCCCUUUCACCCACAUGCUGAUGUAAGUUAAUUAAUUCUAUAGACAUGACAUGAAGAUGAUUAUUCAUGUCAAGUUCAAUAAUAACUUUUAAAUAUACUUUUUUUGUUACAUGACCCAUUAUUGUUAAUGGCCUUAGUCCUUGUUUAAUGAUGUAUGUAGGCCUACAUCUUAUGAUGUAUGAAACGUUGUCAUUAAUUAUUAAUAGAUGUUGUCUUGUUUGUUUUCAUUAUUUGUAUAAACAAACGUUG